ensembl:snRNA U4 U4 spliceosomal RNA
AACUUUGCGCAGUGGCAGUAUCGUAGCCAAUGAGGUUUAUCCGAGGCACGAUUAUUGCUAAUUGAAAAAAACUAGAGGUUAAAACUCAUAUACCAUGUACUUACAAAUGUUUUAUAAUUAGAAGUGUCCAGAGUUA